rnacentral:rRNA from 1 species
UACGGAGGGGCUAGCGUUGUUCGGAAUUACUGGGCGUAAAGCGCGCGUAGGCGGACCUGCAAGUCGGGGGUGAAAGCCCGAGGCUCAACCUCGGAACUGCCUUCGAUACUGCGGGUCUCGAGUCCGGGAGAGGUGAGUGGAAUCCCUAGUGUAGAGGUGAAAUUCGUAGAUAUUAGGAAGAACACCAGUGGCGAAGGCGGCUCACUGGCCCGGUACUGACGCUGAGGCGCGAAAGCGUGGGGAGCAAACAGG